GGGAAAUCUUAUCAGGUCCAAAAUAACUGAGGAUUGACAGGUUCUUAUAAGAUUUUUAUAUAUAUUAUUUAUUUAAUAUAUAUAAUUAUUUAUCUUAUAUCAAAUAUGCUAGUCCUUUCAUGAUUGUUGUGAAGGUGGUGCAUGGCCGUUCUUAGUUCGUGGAGUGAUCUGUCUGCUUAAUUGCGUUUCACUAAAAAAUGGACUCAUAUUAGAUAUUUCGUCGCACACAAAGUUUUGUUGCUUUAUAUGUAAAAGUAUACUGCACCUUUGUCGCUGCACAGUAUCUUUAUAAAUGUAGUCCAGAAGGCAACGA
rnacentral:rRNA from 1 species